rnacentral:rRNA from 1 species
UACGAAGGUCCCAAGCGUUAUCCGGAUUUAUUGGGUUUAAAGGGUGCGUAGGCGGGCUAUUAAGUCAGUGGUGAAAGCCUCAAGCUUAACUUGAGAAUUGCCAUUGAUACUGAUGACCUUGAGUACAUUUGAAGUGGGCGGAAUGUGUCAUGUAGCGGUGAAAUGCUUAGAUAUGACACAGAACACCGAUUGCGAAGGCAGCUGACGAAACUGUAACUGACGCUGAUGCACGAAAGCGUGGGGAUCAAACAGG